rnacentral:rRNA from 1 species
GAUGAACGCUGGCGGCGUGCCUAAUACAUGCAAGUCGAACGCAUAGCGAAAGGUGCUUGCACCUUUCAAGUGAGUGGCGAACAGGUGAGUAACACGUGGACAACCUGCCUCAAGGCUGGGGAUAACAUUUGGAAACAGAUGCUAAUACCGAAUAAAACUUAGUGUCGCAUGACACAAAGUUAAAAGGCGCUUCGGCGUCACCUAGAGAUGGAUCCGCGGUGCAUUAGUUAGUUGGUGGGGUAAAGGCCUACCAAGACAAUGAUGCAUAGCCGAGUUGAGAGACUGAUCGGCCACAUUGGGACUGAGACACGGCCCAAACUCCUACGGGAGGCUGCAGUAGGGAAUCUUCCACAAUGGGCGAAAGCCUGAUGGAGCAACGCCGCGUGUGUGAUGAAGGCUUUCGGGUCGUAAAGCACUGUUGUAUGGGAAGAACAGCUAGAAUAGGAAAUGAUUUUAGUUUGACGGUACCAUACCAGAAAGGGACGGCUAAAUACGUG